UGAAUACGAAAUGCUACGGCAUUGAAGUGAUCUAUGCCAGGCUUCCAAGAAAAUCUCGUCAUAUCUUAAGCAGUAGAUGCCUGUACCUUAAACCGACACAGGUAGGUAGGUAGAGUAUACCAAGGGGCGCGAGAUAACUCUCUCUAAGGAACUCGGCAAAAUAACCUCGUAACUUCGGAAGAAGAGGUACCCUUGAAAAAGGGUUGCAAUAACCAGACCCUGGCGACUGUUUACCAAAAACACAGGUCUCCGCUAAUUCGUAAGAUCAAGUAUGGAGGCUGACGCCUGCCCAGUGCCGGAAGGUUAAAGAAGUUGGUCAAUCUUUGGACGAAGCUGGCGACUGAAGCCCCGGUGAACGGCGGCCGUAACUAUAACGGUCCUAAGGUAGCGAAGUUCCUUGUCGGGUAAGUUCCGACCCGCACGAAAGGCGUAACGAUCAGGGUGCUGUCUCGGAGAGAGACUCGGCGAAAUAGACAUGUCUGUGAAGUUGCGGACUACCUGCACCUGGACAGAAAGACCCUAUGAAGCUUUACUGUAUCUUGGAAUUGGGUUUGGGCCUUGCUUGCGCAGGAUAGGUGGGAGGCUGAAGAUAUUCUUGCGGGAAUGUUGGAGCCAACGGUGAGAUACCACUCUAGUAAGGCUAAAAUUCUAACUCUGAACCGUUAUCCGGUCAGAGAACAGUUUCAGGUGGGCAGUCUGACUGGGGCGGUCGCCUCCUAAAAGGUAACGGAGGCGCGCAAAGGUUCCCUCAGGCUGGUUGGACAUCAGUCGUAGAGUGUAAAGGCAUAAGGGAGCUUGACUGCGAGACCCACAAGUCGAGCAGAGACGAAAGUCGGCCUUAGUGAUCCGACGGUUCCACGUGGAAGGGCCGUCGCUCAACGGAUAAAAGUUACUCUAGGAUAACAGGCUGAUCUCCCCCAAGAGUUCACAUCGACGGGGAGGUUUGGCACCUCGAUGUCGGCUCAUCGCAUCCUGGGGCGGUAGUACGUCCCAAGGGUUGGGCUGUUCGCCCAUGAAAGCGGUACGCGAGCUGGGUUCAGAACGUCGUGAGACAGUUCGGUCCAUAUCCGGUGCAGGCGUUAGAGCAUUGAGAGGAGUCCCCCUUAGUACGAGAGGACCGGGGGGAAUACACCGCUGGUGUACCAGUUAUCGUGCCAACGGUAAACGCUGGGUAGCCAUGUGUAGCGCGGAUAACUGCUGAAAGCAUCUAAGUAGGAAGCCCACCUUAAGAUGAGUGCUCUCACCGCUAUAAGCGGGUAAGGUCACGGUAAGAACAACCGUUAUAUAGGCAUUAAGUAUACGUGCAGUAAUGCAUUUAGCUGAGAUGUACUAACAGACC
rnacentral:rRNA from 1 species